rnacentral:lncRNA from 1 species
GAGAGGACCAGAGCCUUAGCCUGGAAUUUUCCUAAGAAAAAGCUCACAGAUCAUUUGGGACCUUUAAAUACAGAUGCCUUGUUGAAACCCAGCUAGGAAGCAAUAAGAUCAGAUAUGGUAAAUAAGGAGAAAUUCAAAAAUCCCUGUUGUGUAGACACAUCAUUUUCUGUAAAUAAUUACUUGAUCUUUCUUUCAAGUGGUAAAUAGCCAUUUAUUGAGUAUUCUUGCUUUGAUUGUCUACGUAAGCAUGUAAGACUACAACAUUACGACCCAUCUCUUCAAGAGGAAGUCUGGUAUUAUGGAAAAACAUUUUGUCAUUCAGAUUUUUUUUUCUUACAGUAUGCCCAUCACAAACCAGGCAGCAAGCAAGGUAUUGGGUGCUACUCAAUCCAGUGAAGUCUUGAGGGUCCCUUCCCUCUGUGAAGCAUAUAAUCUAGUGGGGUAGACUGCUAGCUACUAACUAUGAAAACAACAUAGUCUGACUUGAGAGUGGGGAAAGUGGAACAAGGGAGUAAUUUUUAUAUUUUUCUUCACAUUUAAAAAUAUUUUCUAAACAAUCCAAUAUAAUCUUUUCUAUAAUUUCCAAUACAAUCAACAUGUAUUACUUGUAAAAUAAUAGCAUACAUAUAUCGACAGACUGAAGAAGGUAUACUAUUAGAGAACAUUUGCAGAAAAGAAUUCCACAUCUUUUUUUUGAGACAGAGUUCUGCUGUCACCCAGGCUGGAGUGCAGUGGCAGCAAUCUAGGCUCACUGCAACCUCCACCUCUUGGGUUCAAGCAAUUCUCCUGCCUCAGCCUCCUGAGUAGCUGGGCCUACAGGCACGCGCCACCACACCCAGAUAAUUUUUGUAUUUUUAGUAGAGCCAGGCUGGUCUUGAACUCCUGACCUCAGAUGAUCCACCCACCUUGGCCUCCCAAAGUGAUGGAAUUACAGGCGUGAGCCACUGCACCUGGCCGAGAAUUCCACAUUUUAAGAAUAUGGUAAAAGAGUUUUAUUCUCUUCAGUAAGAUGAGGUUGAGAAUAAAAAAUUAAAAAGAUUAAGCAAAUGACACUUUCACAUCAUAGGGUAGUAAUAAUGAACUUUAAUAAUCUUAAAAAAAUACUUAUUGGGGAUAAGAAAUGUGGUUUACAAGUAAACUGUUACUUUCUAGACUUAACCCAAGAAGUUAAUGGAGUAGGUGUGUUUCAGUAAAGUAACAGGAAAUGGUACAGAAACCACCAAUGGUCAUCAUGCUUGAGAGUCAAUACAGCACAUAAUUCACAGCACAGAUGAGGCUGGGUGCAGCAAUUCAUGCCUGCAAUUCUACCACUUUGGGAAGCUCAGGCGAGAGGAUCACUUGAGCCCAGGAAUUUGAGACCAGCGUGGGCAACAAGGCUAGACCCCAUCUCUACAAAAUAUAUAUUUAAAAUUAGUUGGGUGUUACCCAGGCAUGGUGGCUCACACCUAUAAUCCCAGUACUUUGGGUAGCCGGGGGAGGUGGAUCACUUGAGGUCAGGAGUUUGAGAUCAGCCUGGCCAACAAGGUGAAACCUUGUCUCUACGAAAAAUACAAAAAUCAGCCAGGCAUUAUGGUGGGUACCUGUAAUCUCAGCUACUUUGGAGGCUGAAGCACGAGAAUUGCUUGAUCUUGGGAGGCAGAGGUUGCAGUGAGCCAAGAUUGUGCCACUGUACUCCGGCCUGGGCAACAGAGUGAGACUUCAACUCAAAAAAACAAAAAUAAAUAAAAAUGAAAAAUAAAAAAAUAUAUAUAUAAAAUUAGGUACGUGUGGUGGUGCAUGCCUGUGGUUCCACCUAAUCAAGAGGCAGUGGCAGGAGGAUUGCUUGAGCCCAGGAGUUUACGGCUGCAGUGAGCUAUGAUCACGCUACUACACUCCAGCCUGGGCAACAGAGCAAGAGGUUGUCUUUUUUUUUUUUUUCUUUCUGAGACAGGAUCUCACUCUGUUGCCCAGGUUGGAAAGCAGUGGCAUGAUCUCAGCUCACUGCUGCCUCAGUCUCCCAGGCUCAAGUGAUCCUCCCACCUCAGUCUCCCAAGUAGCUGGAACUACAGGUGCACACCAUCACAUCCAGUUAUUUUUUUUUUUUUGACGGAGUCUCGCACUGUUGCCCAGGCUGGAGCGCAAUGGCACGAUCUCAGCUCACUGCAACCUCCACCUCCCAGGUUCAAGCAAUUCUCCUGCCUCAGACUCCUGAGUAGCUGGGAUUACAGGCACUCACCGCCAUGCCCAGCUAAUUUUUUGUAUUUUUAGUAGAGACGGGGUUUCACUAUGUUGGUCAGGCUGGUCUCGAACUCCUGACCUUGUGAUCCGCCCACCUUGGCCUCCCAAAGUGCUGGGAUUACAGGCAUGAGCCACUGCACCUGGCCUAAUUUUUGUAUUUUUUUUUUUAGCAGAGAUAGGAUUUUGCCAUGUUGCCCAGGCUGGUCUCAAACUCCUGAGCCCAAGUGAUCCACCUGCCUUGGCCUCCCGAAGUGCUGGGAUUACAGGCAUGAGCCACCAUGCCCCACCAAGACAAACAAAACAAAACAAAACAAAACAAAACAAAACAAAAACAGUAUAGAUGAAAGGCAGCCAGCCUGGGUUCAAAUCCUACCGUUGCUACUUAUUAUUAAAUAAACGUAAGAAUCUUAUGGACGUUACUUUACCUCUCUAGCACCUUGACUUUCAAAUCUGCAAAACAGGAUAAUAACACCUAUUUCUUUAUAACAUUGUUAUAAGGAUUAAGUAGGUUAAUAUAUGUGAAAUACUUAGAGUAAUGUCUGGUACACAGUAGGCACUAAAUAAGUGUUAGCAGCCAGGUGCGGUGGCUCACAAGGUCAGGAGUUUGUGACCACACUGGCCAACAUAGUGAAACCCUGUCUCUACUAAAAAUAUAAAAAUUAGCUGGGCAUGGUGGCGUGUGCCUGUAGUCCCAGCUACUCGGGAGGCUGAGGCAGGAGAAUCACUUAAACCCGGAAGGCGGCGGUUGUGGUGAGCUGAGAUCGCACCACUGCACUCCAGCCCAAGCAACAGAGCGAGACUCCGUCUCAAAAAAAAAAAAAAAAAAAAAAGUAUAGCUACUAUUAUAAUCCUGUGAAAAUAAUCAAUAUAAAAUUAAAAAUCAACAGACAGCCCAUAUUGCCCUUUUUUGGCCUAACAAAAAACAGAUUUCUAAGAAGACAGUAAGAAAUCAGUAUUAAUUUAAACAUUGUACAGGACAGGAGAUCAAAAGCACAGGUAUACAAAUGGUUCAUUUAAAAAAACUGAUACUCAAAUUGACACCCUGAAAAUGUCAGAUAAUUUUUCAGAAUGAUUAAACUCACUAAACAUCUGUAAACAAUAAAUUUAUUUCAUUUCUUUUAAAGAUUUAAUGAUAUACAAAACGUAUAUAGUAUCUUUAAGUAAUACACUUUUUCUUUCUCCC